ACAAGUAUAGCUCAGUUGGUAGAGUGUGAGGCUCUUAAUCUCAGGGUCGUGGGUUCGAGCAAAAGAUUCCUGCAUUGCA